ACUCCAGACUCCUACGGGAGGCAGCAGUGGGGAAUAUUGGGCAAUGGAGGAAACUCUUACCCAGCAAUGCCGCGUGAAUGAAGUAGGUCUUCGGAUUGUAAAGUUCUUUAAUUGGGGACGAAAAAAAUGACGGUACCCAAGGAAUAAGCCCCGGCUAACUACGUGCCAGCAGCCGCGGUAAUACGUAGGGGGCAAGCGUUGUUCGGAAUGACUGGGCGUAAAGGGUGUGUAGGCGGUGUAGCAAGUUAGAAGUGAAAGCCCAAGGCUCAACCAUGGGACUGCUUUGGAAACUGUUAAGCUAGAGUGCUGGAGAGGUAAGCGGAAUUCCUAGUGUAGCGGUGAAAUGCGUAGAUAUUAGGAAGAACACCAAUGGCGAAGGCGGCUUACUGGACAGUAACUGACGUUGAGGCUCGAAAGCGUGGGGAGCAAACAGGAUUAGAUACCCCAGUAU
rnacentral:rRNA from 1 species